rnacentral:rRNA from 1 species
UACAGAGGGUGCAAGCGUUAAUCGGAAUUACUGGGCGUAAAGCGCACGUAGGCGGUCCAGCAAGUCGGGUGUGAAAGCCCUCGGCUUAACCGAGGAAGUGCAUUCGAAACUACUGGACUUGAAUACUGAAGAGAUCGCGGAAUUCCCGGUGUAGAGGUGAAAUUCGUAGAUAUUCGCAAGAACACCAGUGGCGAAGGCGGCUCACUGGCCCGGAAACUGACGCUGAGACGCGAAA